rnacentral:rRNA from 1 species
GUCGACGGCAGCGGGAAAGUUUCUUGCUACUUUUGCCGGCGAGUGGCGAACGGGUGAGUAAUGUAUCGGAACGUGCCCAGUAGCGGGGGAUAACUACGCGAAAGCGUGGCUAAUACCGCAUACGCCCUACGGGGGAAAGGGGGGGAUCUUAGGACCUCUCACUAUUGGAGCGGCCGAUAUCGGAUUAGCUAGUUGGUGGGGUAAAGGCCUACCAAGGCGACGAUCCGUAGCUGGUUUGAGAGGACGACCAGCCACACUGGGACUGAGACACGGCCCAGACUCCUACGGGAGGCAGCAGUGGGGAAUUUUGGACAAUGGGGGAAACCCUGAUCCAGCCAUCCCGCGUGUGCGAUGAAGGCCUUCGGGUUGUAAAGCACUUUUGUCAGGGAAGAAAAGGUUUCGGAUAAUACCCGGAACUGAUGACGGUACCUGAAGAUCAAGCACCGGCUAACUACGUGCCAGCAGCCGCGGUAAUACGUAGGGUGCAAGCGUUAAUCGGAAUUACUGGGCGUAAAGCGUGCGCAGGCGGUUCGGAAAGAAAGAUGUGAAAUCCCAGGGCUCAACCUUGGAACUGCAUUUUUAACUACCGAACUAGAGUAUGUCAGAGGGGGGUGGAAUUCCACGUGUAGCAGUGAAAUGCGUAGAUAUGUGGAGGAACACCGAUGGCGAAGGCAGCCCCCUGGGAUAAUACUGACG